UUCCAUAUUUUACUUUUUAUGGUAGUACCUGCUCUAUGUAUUUUUAUAAAUGGCCGCAGUAUUUUGACUGUGCAAAGGUAGCAUAAUUAAUUGCCUUAUAAUUGAAGGCUUGUUUGAAUGGUUUGACGUGGUAGUUAUGAAUAUUUGGUUUAUUGUUGAAAUUUAUGUAGAGGGCACAGAAUCCUCUUUUUUUAAUUAGACGGAAAGACCCCAGGAUCUUUUGUUUUUGUCUGGGGCAGAUUUGAAUAAUUUAUUCUUAUUUUGACCCUUGAGGGUUUAAUGAGUUAAGUUACCCUGGGGAUAACAGUGUAAUAGUUCAUGAGAGGUCUUAUCGAAUGAACUGUUUGCUACCUCGAUGUUGACUUAGGUAAAUGAGUUUGGCGCAGUAGUCAUACUUUUUGGUCUGUUCGACCAUAAUUACCUCC
rnacentral:rRNA from 1 species